rnacentral:tRNA from 1 species
CAAAGUGUAGCUUAAACUAAAGCACCUAGUUUACACCUAGAAGAUAUCACACAAAAUGAUCCCUUUGAU